UAAUACAGAGGGUGCGAGCGUUAAUCGGAUUUACUGGGCGUAAAGCGUGCGUAGGCGGCUUUUUAAGUCGGAUGUGAAAUCCCUGAGCGUAACUUAGGAAUUGCAUUCGAUACUGGGAAGCUAGAGUAUGGGAGAGGAUGGUAGAAUUCCAGGUGUAGCGGUGAAAUGCGUAGAGAUCUGGAGGAAUACCGAUGGCGAAGGCAGCCAUCUGGCCUAAUACUGACGCUGAGGUACGAAAGCAUGGGGAGCAAACAGGAUUAGAUACCCUGGUAGUCCAUGCCGUAAACGAUGUCUACUAGCCGUUGGGGCCUUUGAGGCUUUAGUGGCGCAGCUAACGCGAUAAGUAGACCGCCUGGGGAGUACGGUCGCAAGACUAAA
rnacentral:rRNA from 1 species